GUAAGGCCCUUCGGGGUACACGAGCGGCGAACGGGUGAGUAACACGUGGGUAACCUGCCCUGUACUCUGGGAUAAGCCUGGGAAACUAGGUCUAAUACCGGAUAUGACCUGCCUCCGCAUGGUGGUGGGUGGAAAGUUCCGGCGGUACGGGAUGGGCCCGCGGCCUAUCAGCUUGUUGGUGGGGUGAUGGCCUACCAAGGCGACGACGGGUAGCCGGCCUGAGAGGGUGACCGGCCACACUGGGACUGAGACACGGCCCAGACUCCUACGGGAGGCAGCAGUGGGGAAUAUUGCACAAUGGGCGAAAGCCUGAUGCAGCGACGCCGCGUGAGGGAUGACGGCCUUCGGGUUGUAAACCUCUUUCAGCAGGGACGAAGCGCGAGUGACGGUACCUGCAGAAGAAGCACCGGCUAACUACGUGCCAGCAGCCGCGGUAAUACGUAGGGUGCGAGCGUUGUCCGGAAUUAUUGGGCGUAAAGAGCUCGUAGGCGGUUUGUUGCGUCGGCCGUGAAAACUUCACGCUUAACGUGGAGCCUGCGGUCGAUACGGGCAGACUUGAGUUCGGCAGGGGAGACUGGAAUUCCUGGUGUAGCGGUGAAAUGCGCAGAUAUCAGGAGGAACACCGGUGGCGAAGGCGGGUCUCUGGGCCGAUACUGACGCUGAGGAGCGAAAGCGUGGGGAGCGAACAGGAUUAGAUACCCUGGUAGUCCACGCCGUAAACGGUGGGUGCUAGGUGUGGGGGGCUUCCACGUCCUCCGUGCCGCAGCUAACGCAUUAAGCACCCCGCCUGGGGAGUAC
rnacentral:rRNA from 1 species